CGAACGCUGGCGGCGUGCCUAACACAUGCAAGUCGAACGAGAAACCUCGGGCUUGCUCGAGGGAGUAAAGUGGCGCACGGGUGAGUAACGCGUGGGUAACCUGCCCUUGGAUCGGGGAUAACUUCGCGAAAGCGUAGCUAAUACCGGAUAAUGUCCCGUUGACUUCGGUCUUCAGGAUGAAAGAUGACCUCUUCAUGAAAGUUGUCGUUCAGGGAGGGGCCCGCGUACCAUUAGCUUGUUGGUGGGGUAAUGGCCCACCAAGGCAACGAUGGUUAGCUGGUCUGAGAGGAUGAUCAGCCACACUGGAACUGAAACACGGUCCAGACUCCUACGGGAGGCAGCAGUGAGGAAUUUUGCGCAAUGGGGGAAACCCUGACGCAGCAACGCCGCGUGAGUGAAGAAGGCUUUCGGGUCGUAAAGCUCUGUCAAGUGGGAAAAAAAGCUCUCGAUUAAUAGUCGGGAGACCUGAUGGUACCACUGGAGGAAGCACCGGCUAACUCC
rnacentral:rRNA from 1 species